rnacentral:rRNA from 1 species
AUUGAACGCUGGCGGCAUGCCUAAUACAUGCAAGUCGAACGUGUGGCGGACGGGUGAGUAAUGUCUGGGAAACUGCCCGAUGGCGGGGGAUAACUACUGGAAACGGUAGCUAAUACCGCAUACAAUGGGCUGUCCCCAGAUGGGAUUAGAUAGUAGGGGGGGUAACGGCUGACCUAGGGGACGAACCCUAGCUGGUCUGAGAGGAUGACCAGCCAAACUGGAACUGAGACACGGGCCAGACUCCUACGGGAGGCAGCAGUGGGGAAUAUUGCACAAUGGGCGCAAGGCGUAAGCAGCCAUGCCGCGGGUAUGAAGAAGGCCUUCGGGUUGUAAAGUACUUUCAGCGAGGAGGCGUUACUCGCAGAAGAAGCACCGGCUAACUCCGUGCCAGCAGCCGCGGUAAUUC